GCCGAACUCAGGACCCCGCCCUCACACGUGUACAUGCUAACACAGAUCCAAACUGUUGGAGCAGUUUAGAUUAGGAAGGUAGAUAGAAAAAAGAAGUAUGAAAGCCUUCAACCCAAAAUAUAUCAGAUGAAGAAAGAAGUUAAAUCAGCCUGAACAGUGGGGAGGAUGUCAAACGCUGGAGUUACCUGUAGCCUGGAAGGUUCUGCUAUUGAGCAGCAGAAGCCAGUGCGAGUUCUGUUAAGGAGGGUUGGAGUCUUCC
rnacentral:lncRNA from 1 species